CCAGGAUGGUCUUGAUCUCCUGACCUUGUGAUCCGCCUGCCUCAGCCUCCCAAAGUGCUGGGAUUACAGGUGUGAGCCACUGCGCCCGGCCUAGAUGAAGUUUUAAAGGCUCUCCAUUCUCUUUCUCGCUGGAGUUCACACUUUGGUAUUCUUAAUGAUAAUUAUAUUCGUCUGUGUCUCUUCCCUAGCUUCUUUGGAACAUCUCAGGGCCUUUUGAGUUCUAACUACUCUUCUUGUUUUAUGUGGGCUCUAUCUAAUACCUCUAGAUUAAUUCAGAACAUAUUUAAUCCUUCUUGUAUAAUAGCCUUCACAUGUGUGAAAGCUUGAUCUCUUUCCCAGUCUUAAAAACUCUCCAGCAACUUCAUCCUUCCCUCACCAAAAUGCAAAUUUCCUUCUGCUUGAACCGUGAUGUUUAAGUUCCCUUUCAUAGUGGAGUAUCCAGAAGGGAACACACUGUAGCUAGCUUGUUGUGGGUUAAGACUGUCACUUUCCCUGUUGAAAAGACUUUAUCAGUAUGGCCUGAGGUCAGGGGAUUUUCUUAGCUGUGAUAUACUGUUGAUUUAGUGAGUCAUAAUUAUGCAAAGUUGUGUCCUUUCCCUACAUAGGUUUAUAUAUAUAUAUAUAUAUGGGGUUUUUUUGGACCAAAGACUAAACUUUAUAAUUAUCCUUGUUCAGUUUCAUUGAGAUGAUUUCGGUGCCUCAUAUCAAUUUUCCAAGCUCAGAAGAAUCCCAGAAGCAUUUCUCAGUCUCAAGCUUCCUGGGGCAAGGCAGAUAUUCCUUUGGGGGUUACAACAGCAGCACAGUACUGACGUUUCACCAAGUUCUCUUUCAAGUAGUCCCCCUGGAAGGCUGUAAUAUAAACUUACUCAAACAAUUAAGGCAUAGUUCAUGACUAUUUUGCUUCUUGUCUUUAUAUUUUCUUCACUACCUCCAUAUAUCAUUGCACCUCCUUGAAAAGCAUGUUCUAAUGGCUGUCCAAUUAUCACUGAAUUUUACUCAUAUUUACAAUUUGUAUGCCUGGAAAUGUAAUUUUCCGUAAACAUUUAUGUUCGUUAUGGUUUUUAUGCCGCAGGUUUUGGACCAGACAGUAAACAUUAAAACAGUUGAUUUUAUAACAGAUAUGGAAACUGUCAAGCUGUUUUUCAUUUAUUUAUUUUUUGAGAUGGAGUUUCCCUUGUCACCCAGGCUGG
rnacentral:sRNA from 1 species